UACGUAGGUGGCGAGCGUUGUCCGGAAUUACUGGGUGUAAAGGGGGCGUAGGCGGCUAAUUAAGUUAAAUGUGAAAGGCAAUGGCUCAACCAUUGUGAGCGUUUAAAACUGAAUAGCUUGAGAUAGAUAGAGGCAGGCAGAAUUCCUAGUGUAGCGGUGAAAUGCGUAGAUAUUAGGAGGAACACCAGUGGCGAAGGCGGCCUGCUGGGUCCAAACUGACGCUGAGGCUCGAAAGCGUGGGUAGCAAACA
rnacentral:rRNA from 1 species